AUUGAACGCUGGCGGAAUGCUUUACACAUGCAAGUCGAACGGCAGCACGGGGCAACCUGGUGGCGGGUGGCGAACGGGUGAGUAAUACAUCGGAACGUGCCCAAUCGUGGGGGAUAACGUAGCGAAAGUUACGCUAAUACCGCAUACGAUCUACGGAUGAAAGCGGGGGAUCGCAAGACCUCGCGCGAAUGGAGCGGCCGAUGUCAGAUUAGGUAGUUGGUGGGGUAAAGGCUCACCAAGCCGACGAUCUGUAGCUGGUCUGAGAGGACGACCAGCCACACUGGGACUGAGACACGGCCCAGACUCCUACGGGAGGCAGCAGUGGGGAAUUUUGGACAAUGGGCGCAAGCCUGAUCCAGCCAUUCCGCGUGCAGGAUGAAGGCCUUCGGUUGUAAACUGCUUUGUUACGGAACGAAACGGUU
rnacentral:rRNA from 1 species